AAUAGUGAUGCUUGUUAUAAGGACACUUUCUGCCCUCCUCAUGUUUCUUUCUUUUUCUCUGUCCUAGACCCUCAUAUUCCAAGAUCGCUGCUAAGAAAAUGGAUGGCCACUUGGUACAUCUAGAAAGGUGAAGGACCAUUGGAGAUAUACCACAUGAGGCUAUAACUCUGUGAACUUUGAAAAUAUGGAAGAGCCACCCCAUAGCUCCUUGUAAUUUGCCUGGACUUAUGGUUUUACUGGUUUGGGGAACUCCUAGUGUGGAAAUUUCUUCAAUGGAAGCAGAUUCACAACUGGUGCUUCCCCAUCUCACAGAUUCUUGCUGAAAGAGAAGAGUUUUGGGGCCUUCUGGGUAAACAUGGCAGCAGUAUAGAAUCAGGAUCCUUCCUCCCCUCAUCAC
rnacentral:lncRNA from 1 species